UACGUAGGUGGCAAGCGUUAUCCGGAUUUAUUGGGCGUAAAGGGAACGCAGGCGGUCUUUUAAGUCUGAUGUGAAAGCCUUCGGCUUAACCGGAGUAGUGCAUUGGAAACUGUGGAACUGGAGUGCUGGAGAGGCAAGCGGAAUUCCUAGUGUAGCGGUGAAAUGCGUAGAUAUUAGGAGGAACACCAGUGGCGAAGGCGGCUUGCUGGACAGUAACUGACGUUGAGGCUCGAAAGCGUGGGGAGCAAACAGG
rnacentral:rRNA from 1 species